AUGGCCCUCGGAUAUCUUGUCCUCACCGCCUUCCUGGGGCAACUGCUGGGCACCGUGGGGCAGACCACAGUCACCCAGCAAGAAGGACAAGUCACCGUGAAGCAGAGAGACACCUUCCAAACAGCCUGCGCAUACCAGACCUCCAGCUUUUAUGCCCUGCUUUGGUACCAGUGGAGGACAGGCCAAGCUCCCCAGCUGGUCUCCCAUCAGGCAGUAGCUGGCCCCAGGCGCGACGGCCGUCUCACCACGCUGCUGAACACCACAGGGAAAUACAGCCUCCUGCAGCUGGAGCAAGCCGAGGUCUCUGACAGCGCCUUGUACCUCUGUGCCGUGCAAGACACCCUG